rnacentral:rRNA from 1 species
GGACUACCGGGGUAUCUAAUCCUGUUUGCUCCCCACGCUUUCGCGCCUCAGCGUCAGUUAUGGUCCAGAAAGCCGCCUUCGCCACUGGUGUUCCUCCCGAUCUCUACGCAUUUCACCGCUACACCGGGAAUUCCGCUUUCCUCUCCCACACUCAAGCAAAACAGUUUCCAAAGCAAUUCCCAUCUUGAAAACGGGACUUUCACUCCAGACUUAUCUCGCCGCCUACGCGCCCUUUACGCCCAAUCAUUCCGGACAACGCUCGCCCCCUACGUAUUACCGCGGCUGCUGGCAC